CAUUAAUCAGCUUAUCGUGUAGACUAACUUCCCGUACAUCACGAAUGCGUUUAGUUUGUGUUACGCGAUGAUUAUUGUGAUUAUUUUUUCUUUAAUAUUUUCAUUCAUAGUGAUCUUUCAGAUUCUGAGUACAUAUACAAAGUUAGCUUGGAAAAAUAAUGAAGUCCCAGGAACCACGGCAGUAAGCUCUACCAAGCUAUCGGUGCCGUUCGUGUCCGUCCCGUUGAGAUCUAGCGCCUCGUUGUUGUCCAUGGGGAAUAUGGGGACGGAUAGCAAACGGCGUUGUUGCGGUUUGCUUUCGGUGGAGUCCGCACCAUCCGUCGCGGCAUUGCAGCCAGCUCCCUCGGCCACGGGAUGAUUUUCCCGCAUUCCACCGGAAAGUGGACGCCGUUAUGCGCCAAAACCAGCAGGGCGCAGUGGGAUCCUCGAAAAGUCACGAAAACCAGCGCGUAGAUAUGAUACUCACGAGUUUCGAAGAAAAUUUCCACAUUUUACAUUUUCAUUGAUUUGAACUUUCGUUAUAAACUGGUUUUUAAUUCUCUAGUCCGGAAUUGAAUUGUCUUCAUAUUACACUGGAGCUUGUGCGUUCGCACAGUUUAUAGUUGUUCUAAACUUGUACAGUUGUGUAACUAGCGAAUACUGCUUUAACCCAUGAUGUUACUGCGUUGACGGCAUCUUGGUUUUAAAUUGAGGAUUUGCAAUAGUUGCACACA